rnacentral:rRNA from 1 species
GACAGAGGCCUCAAGCGUUAGGCGGAAUCACUGGGCUUAAAGCGUGUGUAGGCGGACUUCUAAGUGUCUUGUGAAAUCCCACGGCUCAACCGUGGAACUGCUGGGCAUACUGGGAGUCUUGGGCCAUUCAGGGGCAACUGGAACAAGCGGUGGAGCGGUGAAAUGCGUAGAUAUCGCUUGGAACGCCGAAGGUGAAAACAGGUUGCUGGGGAUGUGCCGACGCUGAUGCGCGAAAGCCAGGGGAGCAAACGGG